rnacentral:rRNA from 1 species
UACGUAGGUGGCAAGCGUUAUCCGGAUUUAUUGGGCGUAAAGGGAACGCAGGCGGUCUUUUAAGUCUGAUGUGAAGCCUUCGGCUUAACCGGAGUAGUCCAUUGGAAACUGGGAGACUUGAGUGCAGAAGAGGAGAGUGGAACUCCAUGUGUAGCGGUGAAAUGCGUAGAUAUAUGGAAGAACACCAGUGGCGAAAGCGGCUCUCUGGUCUGUAACUGACGCUGAGGUUCGAAAGCGUGGGUAGCAAACAGG